CGCCGGGCGAGGUGCCGCCGGAGGCACCGGCCGCCGCCCAGGCCGGCGGCGUCUACUGAGGACGGGCGAUCAGGCCCGCCGCCCGACGAC
rnacentral:tRNA from 1 species